rnacentral:rRNA from 1 species
UACGUAGGGACCAAGCGUUGUUCGGAUUUACUGGGCGUAAAGGGCGCGUAGGCGGCAUGACAAGUCACUUGUGAAAUCUCUGGGCUUAACUCAGAACGGCCAAGUGAUACUGUCGCGCUAGAGUGCAGAAAGGGCAAUCGGAAUUCUUGGUGUAGCGGUGAAAUGCGUAGAUAUCAGGAAGAACACCCGUGGCGAAGGCGGCUCUCUGGGACGGUACUGACGCUGAGACGCGAAAGCGUGGGGAGCGAACAGG